rnacentral:rRNA from 1 species
UACGGGGGGGGUAAGCGUUGUCCGGAUUUACUGGGCGUAAAGAGCGCGCAGGCGGUCGGAUUAGUCGCGUGUGAAAGCCCCCGGCUCAACUGGGGAGGGUCACGCGAUACUGUUCGACUCGAAGGCAGGAGAGGGAAGUGGAAUUCCCGGUGUAGUGGUGAAAUGCGUAGAUAUCGGGAGGAACACCAGUGGCGAAGGCGACUUCCUGGCCUGUUCUUGACGCUGAGGCGCGAAAGCUAGGGUAGCAAACGGG